CUCCUCUUCCCGACAUCCGCCCUCGCAGCAUCCCCGGCGCCCCCGAGCCGCGCACCUUGACGAAGUGAAACGCCGGUCCGGGCUUCAGGGUGACGUUCUCGUUCUCCUGCUGAAUUUCCUGAUGCAAGGAAGCUUAUAUGAUCAUACCAUCUGUCCAUCGUUCCCCAGUGAUGCCCAGUUCCAGAUGAAUUUGGCAGAAGGAUAAAGAUCUCAAAGAGAUUUAAAUUCUCCAAACGUUUAAUGCCCAUCAGCAGCAGCCUCCAGGAAAAGCCUGUACUGCAAAUGCAGUAUAUUAAUCUGCUUGUUCUUGUGCUACAUAACAGUGAAUGAAUGCUGCCUGGCUGCCUGCCUUCUCCAGUCAGCCCUAUUGCCCAUGGUCCCAUUGAGCACAGGGGGUCUGGAGCGGUAGGAGCUUUGUGGAAGGAAGGAGCUCAAAGUGUGUUAUUAAUGGAAAAAAAAAAAGAAGCAAACCUACACUUCUAUCUGGAAGGAUGUGAAAUAUUUCCAAACAUUUAACAUACUGAGACCAGAAGUAAGGAAAAGACUCACGACGGAAGGACCUUUUCUGCCUUUAAAUUUGGUGUUCCACUCCUCCGUAACACCGAGAUGAUCAGAGCCCUGGCAGGGCAGCGGUCUGUCCAACUGCCAGCAGAGAAGCUCUGACCUGACAGCAGACUCAAUCUUCUGGUCUGAUGGACGAUGGUGGUGCCAGCACAUGUGUCUUCUGGAAGAUAGGAAUGUGGAUCUCACACAGCAGUAGGACUUUUUUUCCCUUUACAAUGGCCGAGCAGAGCAGCAGCAGUGCCAUUGAUUCCUGCUGUUGCCGCCCUGCUGAACGCCAAGACAGAUAAACUGUGGGAUGUUCUUAGCAGCUCCUCCAUGGGGUAGUAAGAUAAACAUGAGAAACAUAAGGAGAUAUUAAAGAGUAGAUUAUAAUCCAUUUUCAGGAAACAGCAUUUUCUCCAGCAAGAGAGACUGAACUUUAUCAAAGGGGAAACUUCUCCAGGAGGACUUGCCAAAGUAAAUCUCUUUGAUGCAAAUGGUUUAAGCAAAGACAUUCACCUUAAUCUACUGUGUGGUGACCUGCUCUUCUGAUACAAAGAAUAAUUAUGGGUGUUUUCGGAAUUGCUGUGGUCUGCAAAUCCUCCAAAUCUAAGUUCUUAAUGUUCCCGCUUCACCACUCUGAUCUUGGUCACCCACAUUUCUUGUAAUUUUGGCCUUGCUUAAUGCCUUUAGGUGUUGUUACUUGGAAAGACUUCACUGCCUUUUGAAGGACAGAUCAAAAAAUAACAAGCUUUUUUUUUUUUUUUUACCUUUACAUUUAAUUGUUGUGCCUGGGUCUAAUAAAGUGAAUGACCCACAAAUAACUUGAUCGAAGUGCAGAACACAGUGGAGUGGAGAAGACGAGUGUUUAGCUGUUGAAAUCAAUACUUUCAUGCAGAUUGAUGUCUGUGCCAGUUUGCCAUCCCGGACGUUUUCAGUUUAGUUUAUUUGUGUUACAGUAGUAGUGACAAUGUAGUUAAAUAUAGCCUCUGAAAACAGGAUCUCUGCUUGUUUCAUUUGUAUUCUACUGUUCUUUCAUUAAACAUUUCUUCAUCUUUGCAGAGCCAAAUUCUUACAAUAAUAAAUCAGAGACACCUAAA